rnacentral:rRNA from 1 species
AUUGAACGCUGGCGGCAGGCCUAACACAUGCAAGUCGAGCGGAUGAGUGGAGCUUGCUCCAUGAUUCAGCGGCGGACGGGUGAGUAAUGCCUAGGAAUCUGCCUGGUAGUGGGGGACAACGUUUCGAAAGGAACGCUAAUACCGCAUACGUCCUACGGGAGAAAGUGGGGGAUCUUCGGACCUCACGCUAUCAGAUGAGCCUAGGUCGGAUUAGCUAGUUGGCGAGGUAAAGGCUCACCAAGGCGACGAUCCGUAACUGGUCUGAGAGGAUGAUCAGUCACACUGGAACUGAGACACGGUCCAGACUCCUACGGGAGGCAGCAGUGGGGAAUAUUGGACAAUGGGCGAAAGCCUGAUCCAGCCAUGCCGCGUGUGUGAAGAAGGUCUUCGGAUUGUAAAGCACUUUAAGUUGGGAGGAAGGGCAGUAAGUUAAUACCUUGCUGUUUUGACGUUACCGACAGAAUAAGCACCGGCUAACUUCGUGCCAGCAGCCGCGGUAAUACGAAGGGUGCAAGCGUUAAUCGGAAUUACUGGGCGUAAAGCGCGCGUAGGUGGUUCGUUAAGUUGGAUGUGAAAGCCCCGGGCUCAACCUGGGAACUGCAUCCAAAACUGGCGAGCUAGAGUAUGGCAGAGGGUGGUGGAAUUUCCUGUGUAGCGGUGAAAUGCGUAGAUAUAGGAAGGAACACCAGUGGCGAAGGCGACCACCUGGGCUAAUACUGACACUGAGGUGCGAAAGCGUGGGGAGCAAACAGG